UAAGCGACUAAGCGUACACGGUGGAUGCCCUGGCAGUCAGAGGCGAUGAAGGACGUGCUAAUCUGCGAUAAGCGUCGGUAAGGUGAUAUGAACCGUUAUAACCGGCGAUUUCCGAAUGGGGAAACCCAGUGUGUUUCGACACACUAUCAUUAACUGAAUCCAUAGGUUAAUGAGGCGAACCGGGGGAACUGAAACAUCUAAGUACCCCGAGGAAAAGAAAUCAACCGAGAUUCCCCCAGUAGCGGCGAGCGAACGGGGAGGAGCCCAGAGCCUGAAUCAGUGUGUGUGUUAGUGGAAGCGUCUGGAAAGGCGCGCGAUACAGGGUGACAGCCCCGUACACAAAAAUGCACAUACUGUGAGCUCGAUGAGUAGGGCGGGACACGUGGUAUCCUGUCUGAAUAUGGGGGGACCAUCCUCCAAGGCUAAAUACUCCUGACUGACCGAUAGUGAACCAGUACCGUGAGGGAAAGGCGAAAAGAACCCCGGCGAGGGGAGUGAAAAAGAACCUGAAACCGUGUACGUACAAGCAGUGGGAGCCUCUUUUAUGGGGUGACUGCGUACCUUUUGUAUAAUGGGUCAGCGACUUAUAUUCUGUAGCAAGGUUAACCGAAUAGGGGAGCCGAAGGGAAACCGAGUCUUAACCGGGCGCUAAGUUGCAGGGUAUAGACCCGAAACCCGGUGAUCUAGCCAUGGGCAGGUUGAAGGUUGGGUAACACUAACUGGAGGAACGAACCGACUAAUGUUGAAAAAUUAGCGGAUGACUUGUGGCUGGGGGUGAAAGGCCAAUCAAACCGGGAGAUAGCUGGUUCUCCCCGAAAGCUAUUUAGGUAGCGCCUCGUGAAUUCAUCUCCGGGGGUAGAGCACUGUUUCGGCAAGGGGGUCAUCCCGACUUACCAACCCGAUGCAAACUGCGAAUACCGGAGAAUGUUAUCACGGGAGACACACGGCGGGUGCUAACGUCCGUCGUGAAGAGGGAAACAACCCAGACCGCCAGCUAAGGUCCCAAAGUCAUGGUUAAGUGGGAGACGAUGUGGGAAGGCCCAGACAGCCAGGAUGUUGGCUUAGAAGCAGCCAUCAUUUAAAGAAAGCGUAAUAGCUCACUGGUCGAGUCGGCCUGCGCGGAAGAUGUAACGGGGCUAAACCAUGCACCGAAGCUGCGGCAGCGACACUGUGUGUUGUUGGGUAGGGGAGCGUUCUGUAAGCCUGUGAAGGUGUACUGUAAGGUAUGCUGGAGGUAUCAGAAGUGCGAAUGCUGACAUAAGUAACGAUAAAGCGGGUGAAAAGCCCGCUCGCCGGAAGACCAAGGGUUCCUGUCCAACGUUAAUCGGGGCAGGGUGAGUCGACCCCUAAGGCGAGGCCGAAAGGCGUAGUCGAUGGGAAACAGGUUAAUAUUCCUGUACUUGGUGUUACUGCGAAGGGGGGACGGAGAAGGCUAUGUUGGCCGGGCGACGGUUGUCCCGGUUUAAGCGUGUAGGCUGGUUUUCCAGGCAAAUCCGGAAAAUCAAGGCUGAGGCGUGAUGACGAGGCACUACGGUGCUGAAGCAACAAAUGCCCUGCUUCCAGGAAAAGCCUCUAAGCAUCAGGUAACAUCAAAUCGUACCCCAAACCGACACAGGUGGUCAGGUAGAGAAUACCAAGGCGCUUGAGAGAACUCGGGUGAAGGAACUAGGCAAAAUGGUGCCGUAACUUCGGGAGAAGGCACGCUGAUAUGUAGGUGAAGUCCCUCGCGGAUGGAGCUGAAAUCAGUCGAAGAUACCAGCUGGCUGCAACUGUUUAUUAAAAACACAGCACUGUGCAAACACGAAAGUGGACGUAUACGGUGUGACGCCUGCCCGGUGCCGGAAGGUUAAUUGAUGGGGUCAGCGCAAGCGAAGCUCUUGAUCGAAGCCCCGGUAAACGGCGGCCGUAACUAUAACGGUCCUAAGGUAGCGAAAUUCCUUGUCGGGUAAGUUCCGACCUGCACGAAUGGCGUAAUGAUGGCCAGGCUGUCUCCACCCGAGACUCAGUGAAAUUGAACUCGCUGUGAAGAUGCAGUGUACCCGCGGCAAGACGGAAAGACCCCGUGAACCUUUACUAUAGCUUGACACUGAACAUUGAGCCUUGAUGUGUAGGAUAGGUGGGAGGCUUUGAAGUGUGGACGCCAGUCUGCAUGGAGCCGACCUUGAAAUACCACCCUUUAAUGUUUGAUGUUCUAACGUGGACCCGUGAUCCGGGUUGCGGACAGUGUCUGGUGGGUAGUUUGACUGGGGCGGUCUCCUCCUAAAGAGUAACGGAGGAGCACGAAGGUUGGCUAAUCCUGGUCGGACAUCAGGAGGUUAGUGCAAUGGCAUAAGCCAGCUUGACUGCGAGCGUGACGGCGCGAGCAGGUGCGAAAGCAGGUCAUAGUGAUCCGGUGGUUCUGAAUGGAAGGGCCAUCGCUCAACGGAUAAAAGGUACUCCGGGGAUAACAGGCUGAUACCGCCCAAGAGUUCAUAUCGACGGCGGUGUUUGGCACCUCGAUGUCGGCUCAUCACAUCCUGGGGCUGAAGUAGGUCCCAAGGGUAUGGCUGUUCGCCAUUUAAAGUGGUACGCGAGCUGGGUUUAGAACGUCGUGAGACAGUUCGGUCCCUAUCUGCCGUGGGCGCUGGAGAACUGAGGGGGGCUGCUCCUAGUACGAGAGGACCGGAGUGGACGCAUCACUGGUGUUCGGGUUGUCAUGCCAAUGGCACUGCCCGGUAGCUAAAUGCGGAAGAGAUAAGUGCUGAAAGCAUCUAAGCACGAAACUUGCCCCGAGAUGAGUUCUCCCUGACCCUUUAAGGGUCCUGAAGGAACGUUGAAGACGACGACGUUGAUAGGCCGGGUGUGUAAGCGCAGCGAUGCGUUGAGCUAACCGGUACUAAUGAACCGUGAGGCUUAACCU
rnacentral:rRNA from 1 species